UGGGGAAUAUUGCACAAUGGGGGAAACCCUGAUGCAGCGACGCCGCGUGAACGAAGAAGGUAUUCGUAUCGUAAAGUUCUGUCCUAUGGGAAGAUAAUGACAGUACCAUAGAAGAAAGCUCCGGCUAAAUACGUGCCAGCAGCCGCGGUAAUACGUAUGGAGCGAGCGUUGUCCGGAAUUAUUGGGCGUAAAGGGUACGCAGGCGGUUUAAUAAGUCGAAUGUUAAAGAUCGGGGCUCAACCCCGUAAAGCAGUGGAAACUGAUAAACUUGAGUAGUGGAGAGGAAAGUGGAAUUCCUAGUGUAGUGGUGAAAUACGUAGAGAUUAGGAGGAAUACCAGUAGCGAAGGCGACUUUCUGGACACAAACUGACGCUGAGGUAAGAAAGCGUGGGGAGCAAACAGG
rnacentral:rRNA from 1 species